rnacentral:lncRNA from 1 species
GAGCGAGAGAGGGGAUCCGCGAGCGUUCGACUGUUCCGCUCAGUCCUCGUCCGUCCGCCAGCCGGUAACCUUUCGUAGACGCGCGAUCGACAACUCGCGCGCCGCUUCGCCGAAAGAUCACUCGCUAUAUCUAUCUCUACGAAAACGUCGUUUUUUUUCUUCUCGAGCUCUGCCACGUGAUAAGGUCCCGAUAACGAAAGAUCAAUCGGAUCUAUCGAUCUCGACGCGUCCGACGUUUCAAGCGCGAUCUCAUCGAGAUGCUUUUCGCGAAACUCGCGUGGGAGCCUGCGCCUACCGUCACGGCCGCCAUUUCUGUUUUCCGGGACCGUUUGGAUUUCCUCGUAACAGUGCGUCGCGGGACUUGACGACUACGACAGCCACGGAAGACGGACGCGGAAGACCGGCGGCGGCCACGAGAGAGAAGGAGGGGAGAAUGCAGGAAGACGUCGGCAGCUGUCAUUGAAAAUGUCAUGAGUGGAGAGUCAAGGAAUUCCUGAGCGUGUCAUCUCACGGAUAUUCUAACCAUUGAAGAAUUAUUUUAUAAAGGUAAUAGCCUCUAAUAUUUUCAUCGUUCUAAUAAUCCUGAGGUCCUAGACUGCCAAAUAAGAUGCACGAAAGGCAAUUGCCACAUCUUCGCGAAAGAGCGCAAUGUGGGUCGCGUGGGACGUGGCAAGAUGCUGCUAAACAAGAUCAUAUACGUCGCAAAUAUCUCGCGCUAGCUAUUCGUAAUAUUCCUUAAUCUCUUUUUGCAGACAUUUCAUCUCGAGAUCUUUUGUCACUGUCGUCAUUAUCCGUGCUUUCGUGAUCUUGUUUGCUCCUGUUUCGAAUUAUAACUACUUUGGUUCUUGCGACGUCGAGUCAUUGAUGCUUCUCGGAAGCAUAUACGAUCAAUAUCGCAAGAUGAGUCAUCUUUAUAACGCAAAUAAGAAACAAUUUUUUUUUCCCCUCGCUAGUUCCAGUUGUGGUGUUCAUUGUAACAGGCGAUGACGCUUAACCGUAACGAUUGCUUAAUAUUGUAAAUUGAAGAUUCUUGAAAAGGAUAGCGUCCAUCAUGAAUGGAAAAAUGCCAAAUUUCUUGCGGUAUCUCUAAGUACGUAAUUGCGCAGCUUCGGAAUGUACGUUUCGUCACGAGAAACAGAGAUCCGUCGGAGCGCUGUGAGUUGAGCACUACUGGCAUACUUAGACGCCGCCGCCGACGUCGCGGUUGGAUCUUUAAACUUUAAAAGCCAACACGUUGGCCGCGUAGCUAUUGACGGCUGGACCAGGGCCCUCUCUUCCCACUUCGUUCCGUCCCCCAGCCCCACCCCAACUACGUUGGAGGGCCCUUUCGAAUUUUCUCCCCUCUACUUUCUCCACCUCCACCUUUCUCGUUCUCUGCGUCGGCCUCUUUCUCCUGUUCGCGGGCACUGUGAGGCUACCACCGAGAGCGGCCGCUUCCACCGCGAUUAUGCAAAACAAUUAUUGUGGAAUGCGGUCAGCUGUUCCCAGACGCACGCUGACGUCACGCGCGUGCUCUCUCACCCGGGCACGUGCUCUCGCGACUCCCUAGAAAAAAGCACAGCCAUCCCCCGAAAAUCCACGCCUGGUGUCCGUUCUCUUAACUUUUUCCGUCUUUUCCUCUUUUCUCGCAGACGCGAUUCGCAGCAGCGAAUUAAAUCGGCGAUUUUCCAUAAACUCCCAUAUUUCUAUAAAUUAUCGCUAUCGAUGAGAAGAAAUCGUCGAUUCGAUUUAAUACUGAGACAUCUUCGGGAUAUAUUUUAAGUUAUUUUAAUGAUUUAAACAACGUGACAUAUGUCGAUGUAAGAUGCGAAAAUAAUGUAAUACCGAUAUCUUCUGAUAUAAUAUCUACAAUGUAAGAUAACCCAAUAUCGAAUAAUUCAAUUCUAGUGUAAUACAUCGAGAUAAUAUAUUGAGAUAUCUUUCGUGAGAUAUCCACGUUUACGUUAGAUGUAUACGUUAGAUAUACAAAUAAUACUAUUAUUUUUUCAAUGCA